AGCACGAGGCACCUCGAGGGACUUGGCGAAGGCUGGGUUCAUCUUUGCAAAGGCUGGAGGACCAGCCGGUUUGGUGGGGGUAAAGGGAGGGGGAACCAUUCUCAGCAGCGUCCCAGCAGAGUCCUCGCUUGCUCAAGGCCACCAGAGCUACAGCAAUAAAGAGGAAUCAGUAGUUUUCCAGCCCUACAAGUGAAGGAUCGGGUCCCUGCUGCCUCUUGGUCCACAGCAACAGCCCAUGGGAUUUGGGAACUUGACGCCGGAAAGUUAUUCACUGCUAAUCAGCGCUAAGUAAAACAUAAUGUCUUAAAAGCAGCGUGGAGAAGAUGCAGUAGCUUUGAAGCUGCAUCGCAAUUACGCGGAGAGUGGAAAGGCGCAACGUGCUACAUUUCCAGGAGAAACGACGUUUCUCCCACCUUUCGACUUCAAUCCAACCGUGUCUUGAGGGCAGAGAGGGGAAGAAACAAUGCCAGUCCUGCCCACGCGGAGCUUGCCUUCACCACAGGUAAAAGUCGGGCAGGAUUUGCCGGGCACCGGGAAAUGGAAGGGUUUUUUUCCCUUUAAAGCAGCGAGGCGGGUGCAAACAAGAGCUAAAUCCUUAAGCAGCGAGUUGUCAGGACGCAUUAAUCAAAGACUUGCUAAAGUCUAACAACUUAACGGCGUUUCUGCCUCAAAAAAGGAGAACGAUUCGGUGUACGCGCGGAUUAAUCAUCACUCGGGGUGAGCAAGACGUAAGAGCUGACGGCAGCGUCAGGCUGGACGUCAAGCUGGAACUGCAAAGAAAGGAAGCAGGAACGGGUAAGGAUCCCCUCGGCAGGGACAAAACUACCUGAGCUGGAAGAAAAACAGCCCGUCAAGUCUCUGCUUUCCCCUGCUCUGCGAGGCUCAGCUCUCCAGCUGUUCUUAAAGGUGUGCUGCGGGUUUCUGCCCGCAGCCACCCCUCCAGCAUCCACGCAUCCCCGGGCACCUGUGGGACGCAGCUCGCUCCCUGCACGAGUCCCUCUGCAGUGCCUUUCCCUCCGUUAGGCAUCAGGCAUCCUCCCCGCCGCGAGAUUUCUGCUGGGGAAAAAAUAAAAAUAAAAAAAAAAAAUCCACCCACGAAAUACUGGGGGAUUCUUUCCUUGCAACCUGUGCCCGGAGCAGCCCUCUGGCUGCUACUGUUUCAGUAGGAGAGAAAGCGCGGCCGUGUCAGGGUUUGUCAGUGGCCUUCGCAU